UUGAUAGUUAUGAAGCUAUUAGGGUUACUUUAGACCUCAUGUCUACACUCUAUUUUGCUGCCUUAAAGAAGUCAAAACUAGGAGAAGAGCUAUCCAAAAAAAAAAGCUUUUCUUUUUAUGGUAAUUCUGGUCCAAAUAAUAACAACAAUCUCUCAAAAAAAAUUCCAGCUAAGUUUUCCAGAGCCAAUGGCCUAAAAUAACAGUAUAAAACACCUGAACUACUUUGGGGGUUGCUUAUCUGAACCAAGUCUUUGAAUCUUUUGAGAUUUGACCAUUAACAAUCUAACCUAAUUUUUUUCACUCAGUGGUGGCACAUCACACAACUGUGUAGCAGAACCAAAUCCAAUCUGGCCUCAGACAUCAACUCUGCAGGUCUGGAAGAAGCUGGGCAGCUACUAACUCUCUAGCAAUAGGAUGUGGGCCCUGUUACUCCAUAUCGCUCCUGCCGGGCAAUUUGUGCAACAGCAUGGAGCACUGGUUAAAUGAAAAAGCCUUUCGGACAUCCUUUGGAGCUGGAGUGGAGAUUCUUACUGCAUGGGAGGCUUGCCAGUAUGUGGCUCCCCAGCCCUUUAGUCCUACAGGCAAUCAAGGAAGACUAUGGUAUGGUAUGGUAUGGUGAAAUGGACACCUCAAUUGAGAGCACAGGAAUCUGUGUCUUUGCCUUUUUUCCUGCUCAUUGUCACUGGAUUGAUUCAUGAGGACCCAUCGGGAAUGGUCUUAGGAGUAAUCAAUCAGUAGAUAUCUAAGACUGAGAUACUCACUCACACACACACACACACACACACACACACACACACACACACACACACACACAAAUUUGCUAUCCUUGCAUACAAGGACUAGAUGAAGCUUGCUAAACUAUGAUAUGAAAAGUCUUAUACACAUUACUUAAAUGAAGUUGACCAGCGAUGGACUACAUGAGAACUUCCCAGUACUUAUGUAAGUUAAUCAGUGAUCAAAAAUGGAGUCAUUUCUGUCAGAUAGGGUCUAUCAAUAGGUCAGCCAUCACAUUUUCACAUUAAAUAUAAAUUGUGUCUAUAAAAUAUUUUAAAUGGUUGUGAUCCCACUAGUUCAACCCCCCUCCAAAAAAAGAAUAGGGCUAAUGAUUAAAUCUUUUUUGUUCACUGAUAUAGAGAACUCUUUGUUGAGGAAACUCAACAAGUCAGUGCCUUCAUUGCAACUUGUAUUCUUAGAGAAUUUCUUAGAGUCUUGAGAAGUUAAAUGAUUUUCUUGGAGUUAUUCAGCUAGUAUGUCUCAGAAGUCAGAUUUGAAACCAGGUCUUCCUGUUUCCAGGGCCAGCUCUCUAGCCUUUAUUUCAUUAUUGCAUCUAUUCAGCCAAUCAAGCAAUUAAUUUCAGAGGAAAAUUCAUACAAUCAAGUCAACUUGCUCUAGUGGUACCAUGGACAGUGUGAGACAUUCUUUAAAAAAAAACAAGCACAGAGCAAAACCCCAAAGUAAAAAAAAAAAAACUUACUAACAGAUCACCUGAAGCUGUAGGGAUUAGUAUAUAUUUGAAAAUAAAAACAAUCUCUUAGCCUUUUUUCUGUCA
rnacentral:lncRNA from 1 species